GACGAACUGUCCAAACGUUGUUCGGAAUCACUGGGCUUAAAGGGCGCGUAGGCGGUCAAACAAGUCAGGGGUGAAAUCCUGCAGCUCAACUGUAGAAGUGCCUCUGAUACUGUUUGCCUAGAGGGAGAUAGGGGUGUGCGGAACUUCCAGUGGAGCGGUGAAAUGCGUUGAUAUUGGAAGGAACGCCGGAGGCGAAGGCGGCGCACUGGAUCUCUUCUGACGCUGAGGCGCGAAAGCUAGGGGAGCAAACGGG
rnacentral:rRNA from 1 species